AAGGCUCAAGAAAGACCAUUGAGUUCAAAGCAGUGAUGUUUGGAUCAGGCAGUAGAUGAGGUUAAGGGUUCCUGUGGUGGUUUAUUUGGUAUGUGAAGAGCCUAACUGUUGGCUGGCCCAUGGUGUUCUCCUGUGGUUCAUUAUGGAGGCUUCUGGGUCACAGAACCCACAUAUGAGAGGGCAUCGGGAGGAUCUGGAUGAUGGGGUGGGAGAUGCUGGAUUGGUGGUUUGGUUCUCAGGUGGCUCCUAGAGGAGCCGCAGUAUGGAAACCACUGGCCUGCUCCUGCCUCUGAGAAAAUGAAGCUGGAGGAAAAGAUGUAAAGAUGUAUUUUUUCCAAACUUGCGAUGUUUUAUACAGAAUCUUUCUUAGUGCUUCCACAUAGUUAUUGAAGAUCUGAACGUCUAUGACACUCUUUCGAGCUGACACAGUGAAGAACAUAGAAGGAGAACUCACCCAGUCUGCCAGGGUCACAGAAUGAUCAUACUCAAGAUCUUCCUGGGGAGUCAAUGGCAAAUUUCAC
rnacentral:lncRNA from 1 species